AUAAAGUGAUGAUAAAAAAAAAAUAUAAAAAAAGGUGAUGCGGAACUUAAAAAAAAUGUAAUAAAAGAUUUCUUCUUAUAUUCAUUUUAUUUUAUUUCUGCCAAAAAAGAAAAAUGAGCCUUAUAUAGAAGUCAUAGUUACUCUGAUUA